rnacentral:rRNA from 1 species
UACGUAGGGUGCGAGCGUUAUCCGGAAUUAUUGGGUUUAAAGGGUGCGUAGGCGGCCAUUUAAGUCAGCGGUGAAAUUUUGCAGCUUAACUGUAACAGUGCCGUUGAUACUGUUUGGCUAGGAUUUGGUUGUAGUGUGCGGAAUGUGUGGUGUAGCGGUGAAAUGCUUAGAUAUCACACAGAACACCGAUUGCGAAGGCAGCACACUAAGUCAUUAUUGACGCUGAGGCACGAAAGUGUGGGGAUCAAACAGGAUUAGA